GCAGCUAACGCAUUAAGCACUCCGCCUGGGGAGUACGACCGCAAGGUUGAAACUCAAAGGAAUUGACGGGGGCCCGCACAAGCGGUGGAGCAUGUGGUUUAAUUCGAAGCAACGCGAAGAACCUUACCAGGUCUUGACAUCCUUUGACCACUCUGGAGACAGAGCUUUCCCUUCGGGGACAAAGUGACAGGUGGUGCAUGGUUGUCGUCAGCUCGUGUCGUGAGAUGUUGGGUUAAGUCCCGCAACGAGCGCAACCCUUGAUUUUAGUUGCCAGCAUUUAGUUGGGCACUCUAAAGUGACUGCCGGUGCAAGCCGGAGGAAGGUGGGGAUGACGUCAAAUCAUCAUGCCCCUUAUGACCUGGGCUACACACGUGCUACAAUGGAUAGUACAAAGGGUCGCGAAGCCGCGAGGUGGAGCUAAUCCCAUAAAACUAUUCUCAGUUCGGAUUGUAGGCUGCAACUCGCCUACAUGAAGCCGGAAUCGCUAGUAAUCGUGGAUCAGCAUGCCACGGUGAAUACGUUCCCGGGCCUUGUACACACCGCCCGUCACACCACGAGAGUUUGUAACACCCGAAGUCGGUAGGGUAACCUUUAUGGAGCCAGCCGCCGAAGGUGGGACAGAUAAUUGGGGUGAAGUCGUAACAAGGUAGCCGUAUCGGAAGGUGCGGCUGGAUCACCUCCUUUCUAAGGAA
rnacentral:rRNA from 1 species